GGAGUCGGACAGAUCGCCGCUGCGGGCAUUGGCCCGGAGAGGAAAGUCCGGGCUCCACAGGGCAGGACGCUGGAUAACGUCCAGGAAGGGCGACCUUCGGACAGCGCCACAGAAAGCAAACCGCCCGGCCGGUCCCGUACCGGCCGGGUAAGGGUGAAACGGUGGAGUAAGAGACCACCAGAUGCCGUGGUGACACGGCAUGCUCGGCAUACCCCGUCUGGAGCAAGGCCAAAUAGGGAAGGAGGCUGGCCCGGCCAUACCUUCCGGGUAGGCUGCUUGAGAGGGCAGGUAACUGCUCUUCUAGAGGAAUGGCGAUCGCGCGCCCCGGCGCGAACAGAACCCGGCUUAUCGUUCGACUCCUGCC
rfam:Desulfovibrio piger ATCC 29098 Scfld3 genomic scaffold, whole genome shotgun sequence.